rnacentral:lncRNA from 1 species
AAACAGUAGUUCGAUGACCAAUUUCAUGUUUUCGAAAAGGUGAAGCACUUAAAAGUUGGAUGACCAAAUUGAUGUUCCGAAAAUGUUGGAGGACUAAAUUGCUUCUAAUCAGCAGUUAGAUGACCAAUGCUGAUAGAGGGAUUUAAGUUUACCAUGAAUCAAUUGAUUCUAUAUGACUUAUUACUACCCCUUUGACCACUUUAUUCAUACAUGGAGUCAGGGGAAAUGGAAUUUUGUUUUUUAUAUUUCAAAAUUGGACAUGUUGGAUUAUAUAUAUACGGAUAGAUGGAUCCAUCGGUAGAUUCACACCUAAGAUCUUUCUACAGAUAGUAGUGGUAUCCACCCCUAUGGCCAUGUUCUAUUCGGAUGAAUAAAUAAAAAUUGUCUUUCGAAGAGAUGGCUAAGUAGUUGAUAGCCCUGGUCUUGAAAACCGGUAUAGUUUUGAACAAAGAACUAUCAAGGGUUCGAAUUCCUCUCUCUCCUUUUUUUUCUCAUUGAAUAGAUUUUUCGAAAUGUUAAAGGACUAAAUUGCUUUCCAACAAUAGUUGGAUGACCAAAUUGAUGUUUUCGAA